AUUUUUGUUUACCGAAAAUUUCCGAAACCUUCUAACAUUUUUUUUACACUAAGGAAGUAUUAAAGUCCGCUGAACAAUUAAAAAAAAAUUUCGAAUCGUCUCAGCCAUAAUUAUGUUGGUGCUAUUUAACAAGAAUAUUAUAGAGAGUGAUAAAAAACCUCCUAAAAUCAACAAUACUUCGAGAAAGAAUUCUCAACAAAUUGGAUCUUAGCAACUACACCGUUGCCUUUCUACACUUCAAAUAAUGAUAUAAUUACUGAGAUCUCAAAGUAGGUUAAAAACACAGCAAACUGUUGAGGAUCUAGCGCAGAUAAAAUUGUUCGCAAUAGAUCAACAAAACAUGGCUAACUAUGGAGAGAUAAGGUAUCAGUAGAAGCUGGUGGAUUUGGAGCACUCAACGUUGAUAUCAAAAGGCCAUGUGUUUACACAUACUUUAUACAAACACACAUUAAUUCUUUUUUGUUUAAAUGCAAACGAAAGCUGUUCAGAAGAAUAAAUAGUAUAAAUAUUUCUAAAAUUAGCAUAUAUGCUCAGGUGGUCAGCCAAUUGUUUAUCUAAAGCAAAGAAAUACUAAAUAAUUCCCGUUAAUUUGAUUUCUGAUUUUCUGUUUGUAAAGCAAAAACAAAAGCCGGUUUGUUGUGUAUUAGUAUAUCUACUAAAGUAAAAUUUAGUAUGCUAAUUAAAAAUAAUACGUAAUUUAAGAAAUUCAAGUUCUAUGUUAGUGCAGCUUGGCAACUACAUCGACAAAGAAAUUAAUAAAACUGGAGGUAAACAACAAGCUCUCGUGUGAGUAAUAACAAUAAUUUUAAAAGAAAAAUGAAGAACGAGUCUAAUAAAACAGUUAUGUGAAAAGUGCGAUAUUUUUUAACCUUGGUUAUGCGGUUCUUUAAAAGCAGUAAUCGAUCACCAACUCAGUAUGUGUUUCCAUAUACUUCCAUGUACUCUCCGUGAAACGAGAUCGAAGUGCAGAGAUUUAUUUUGUGUGAGAAAACGAUGAUAUUCAUUUACAUAAAUUACAAAGUUUUCAUAUUACUCAAAAGGAAAUAAAAUUCGAAUUUCUAUUUGUUACGUCACUGGUCCUCAGACUAACCAAAAAUUUGUGGAAUGAUGGAAAUAAGUCAGUUAAUGUUUAAACGUUGUUUUUUUUGUUUGUAAUGUACCACUCUACAAAUCUUUUCAAAAGACCAUUAAAUUCACGUUUGAUUAUCUAAAACAACGUAUGUACGCACUGAAUUUUCAGACCAAUAUAUUUUUGAGAGAUCAUCGCUGUGAGAUCAAGUUAAUCGUCUCAACUGAAUCAUGUGAAUGUCUCAGACCUUCCGAGACCAAAAAUUUCUUGUAAGAAACAUCAUGUAUUCGAAAUAUGGAUAAAAGAACUGAGGAGUUAGAGAUCUGUAUAUAUGCCGGUGUUGAAACUCAAUUUUCUUGAUAUUGGAUCAUUCUUUUUCGCAGCAACAGAAUUUUUUAACAUUCAGAGCUAGAACGUUAGAUAUAUUGCGACACACAGCAUAACAAAUAAAAGGAGCUUUCCAACUUCAAACAAAGCCAACUCAAGACCAAAUUAUCUAAUUUUUCUGCCAAACGCAUUGUAAAGGAAGAAAGGAGACAAAAUUGUAGUAAGUUCUGUGUUCUGGCAAUAAUCCAUGCCGAAUUGCGUGAAGGUACCUCGACAAAUAAAAAAUAU